rnacentral:lncRNA from 1 species
GCAAUAUGUUUGCUUUAUAAGACUUGUAUAUGUCAAUUUUACAGAUUUAAAUAACACUUUGAAACUAAAUGGUUGGGUGGGUGGAUGUGCGUGUGGAUGUAGGUGUAAGUAAAAUUUAUCUUUUAUGAAACAGUGGUUUUCCCGAUCUGUUCCACUAUCUGCAGGAAACUUGUGGCCCCAUUCAUUUUUGGGGAACCAGUUUAGAUAGUAUCAGUGGACACAUUGAAUCAAAUACUUCUAUUAUGUUUUAAUUUUCAGGUUGGAUUUUGGAGCAACAAGCACUUAUACUGUUUCCAGUGGUACAGUUAGAUCUGGCGAGAUGCAAAAGAAGAUGGGACUUUUCCUCUUUUAACAUUGUGUGGAAGGUAGAAUUUCAGCAGAAUGUAGCUUGCACCCCUCUUUUACAUCUAGACACUCUAGGGUGCAGCUCUCUAGAUGUUACCCACCCUUAGAUGCAAGCUAAGCUGCUGAAAUUUCAUUUUCUGUACACUAUAGUUUGAGAAUUACAGUCCAAAAACCAUUAGAGUGCCAUAUUUUGUCCCACUCCACCAGUGACAGAGCUCCUGCAUUUUUCAUAGUUUUGUAGAAGAAGAGAUUUACAUGGAUAUAGCAUGUCAUCCCUCUUCUCUGCAGCUAUGAUGGACACGGGAGCCCUGUCCUUUGGUAAGAGUGCGGGUGGAGGUAGCGAACAUGCAAUGUUGUCUUUUAUAUCUGGCCACCUUAGCAGAUACUGCCACUUUGAGAACACUAUUCUCUUCUUUCCGGUAUGCAUGGCUCUAGAAUUUCUUUCUUUCUUUUCUUCCAGUGUGAGAAACUGGAGCUGGCAAAAGGACCCUGAUGGCUUUCCUUUGCAGCACAAAGUGCUUGUAGUUACACCAGAUUGCUUGACAUCUGCUAGACGUGACACUGUCUUCUGGUACUCCAGGUUAUACAUGUCUUGCCUUUUAUCUCAGGUAUGUAUAUAUGUGUGUGCCUUUGCAAUGGCCAUUUUAAAAACAAAGUUAGCUGCUUCUCUAGUUAGCUUGUACCACUCCCAUCCAAAAUGUGUUCUGCGUCUCUUACCUUUGUACUUUUAG